CACGUAGGGUGCGAGCGUUGUCCGGAAUUAUUGGGCGUAAAGAGCUCGUAGGCGGUGUGUCGCGUCGGCCGUGAAAACCUGCAGCUUAACUGUGGGCUUGCGGUCGAUACGGGCAUCACUGGAGUUCGGCAGAGGAGAAUGGAAUUCCCGGUGUAGCGGUGAAAUGCGCAGAUAUCGGGAAGAACACCCGUGGCGAAGGCG
rnacentral:rRNA from 1 species